AGAGUUUGAUCCUGGCUCAGGAUGAACGCUGGCGGCGUGCCUAACACAUGCAAGUCGAGCGAGAAGUAAAGAAAUGAAGCUUCGGUAGAUUUUCAUUAUGGAAAGCGGCGGACGGGUGAGUAACGCGUAGGCAACCUGCCCUGUACAGGGGGAUAGCCACCCGAAAAGGUGAUUAAUACCCCAUGAUGCAAGAGAUACACAUGUAUCACUUGUCAAAGAUUUAUCGGUAUGGGAUGGGCCUGCGUCUGAUUAGCUAGUUGGUAGGGUAACGGCUUACCAAGGCAACGAUCAGUAGCCGACCUGAGAGGGUGAUCGGCCACAUUGGAACUGAGACACGGUCCAAACUCCUACGGGAGGCAGCAGUGGGGAAUAUUGCACAAUGGGGGAAACCCUGAUGCAGCAACGCCGCGUGAAGGAAGAAGGCCUUCGGGUUGUAAACUUCUGUCCUAGGGGAAGAAACAAAUGACAUUACCCUUGGAGGAAGCCCCGGCUAACUACGUGCCAGCAGCCGCGGUAAUACGUAGGGGGCGAGCGUUAUCCGGAAUUAUUGGGCGUAAAGAGUGCGUAGGUGGCAUCUUAAGCGCAGGGUUUAAGGCAAUGGCUCAACCAUUGUUCGCCUUGCGAACUGGGGUGCUUGAGUGCAGGAGGGGAAAGUGGAAUUCCUAGUGUAGCGGUGAAAUGCGUAGAUAUUAGGAGGAACACCAGUGGCGAAGGCGACUUUCUGGACUGUUACUGACACUGAGGCACGAAAGCGUGGGGAGCAAACAGGAUUAGAUACCCUGGUAGUCCACGCCGUAAACGAUGAGCACUAGGU
rnacentral:rRNA from 1 species